GAGAGUGAGGUCACAGCUAAUCUUGCUGUGCAUCACGUCGUUAACGGUAGUUGGCGGCGUUUAUUUUACUGCUGCCAACACGGAAUGUCAGUCUGCUGCGACCCGCCACUAAAAUAAAGAGAUGAAGCGUCACUGUUUCAGGAGCAGCAAUGGAGGAUCCGCAGGUGGUUGGAGUGCUUAGUGAGGUGAAACGCUGUACAGCUAAAACACGGUUUACAAACAGGGAAGUAAUUUGAGUUGGCUUUCAUCGGCCCAUGGGCACAUGAGGAUCCGCUUCGGAUGAUGAGCGCUACUGAUGUUGGGAGCCUUUCAGCUUGAGAGCGGCACGCCGUUUGGCUGUAUCCUGUUGGAGGGAUGCAAGGGACGGAUCACUCACCUCAUCUUUAUCCAGCCAUUUCAGAAUAAUGUGAGCUGUAUCAGUGGAAACUUGUCUCCUGAGAGAGUCCUGUUCUUCCUCACUCUUCUGACCCUCCAGGAUUGCUCGGAGGGCCUCUGUCAGCUGAAGAGCUUUGAGGGUAGGGUCCACAGGAGCGGGGAGGCUCAGCUGUGAGGGACUCUCUGAUGAAUGGUAAUCCUGGCCUUCUAAUCGCAUGAGAGCACUGAACAGCCCUUCACCCAUUUUGCCUAGGGGAAUUCAGAACAACAGGAAAUCAAGUGAAGAGUAAACAAAAAAAUAAAUGAGAAUUUUUAUUA